UACGUAGGCAGCGAGCGUUGUUCGGAGUUACUGGGCGUAAAGGGUGUGUAGGCGGUUAUUUAAGUUUGGUGUGAAAUCUCCCGGCUCAACUGGGAGGGUGCGCCGAAUACUGAAUGACUUGGAGUGCGGGAGAGGAAAGUGGAAUUCCUGGUGUAGCGGUGAAAUGCGUAGAUAUCAGGAGGAACACCGGUGGUGUAGACGGCUUUCUGGACCGUAACUGACGCUGAGACACGAAAGCGUGGGUAGCAAACAGG
rnacentral:rRNA from 1 species